rnacentral:rRNA from 1 species
UACGUAGGGGGCAAGCGUUGUCCGGAUUUAUUGGGCGUAAAGAGCGUGUAGGCGGCCAAGCAGGUCCGUUGUGAAAACUGGAGGCUUAACCUCCAGACGUCGACGGAAACCGCGUGGCUAGAGUCCGGAAGAGGAGAGUGGAAUUCCUGGUGUAGCGGUGAAAUGCGCAGAUAUCAGGAAGAACACCAAUGGCGAAGGCAGCUCUCUGGGACGGUACUGACGCAGAGACGCGAAAGCGUGGGGAGCGAACAGG